rnacentral:rRNA from 1 species
UACGUAGGGUGCAAGCGUUAAUCGGAAUUACUGGGCGUAAAGCGUGCGCAGGCGGUUAUGUAAGACAGAUGUGAAAUGCCCGGGCUUAACCUGGGAACUGCAUUUGUGACUGCAUGGCUAGAGUUUGGCAGAGGGGGGUAGAAUUCCACGUGUAGCAGUGAAAUGCGUAGAUAUGCGGAGGAACACCGAUGGCGAAGGCAGCCCCCUGGGUCAAGACUGACGCUCAUGCACGAAAGCGUGGGGAGCAAACAGG